AAGUUCUGAUUAUCUUAUUUAAUCUAAUAUUAAUUUCUUAAGCAGUAAGCUUUGUGAAGUUUCUCAUAGUUGAAGACUCAGAAAUGGUAUAAUUAUCAAGAACGAGGCUUCCUAUGAGAGAAUGAGAUGUAAAUAGUAGUGUGGAGACCUCAGAGCAAGACAUAAUUUCACGACCAACAGCGUUAAGAUGGUACUAUUAGUAAGCCCUACUUAUUG